CAACUGAAGAGUUUGAUCCUGGCUCAGAUUNAACGCUGGCGGCAUGCUUUACACAUGCAAGUCGAACGGUAACAGGGAGCUUGCGCCGCUGACGAGUGGCGGACGGGUGAGUAAUAAUCUGGAACGUGCCUAGUAGUGGGGGAUAACUAGUCGAAAGAUUAGCUAAUACCGCAUACGAUUAGUGGAUGAAAGAUGGGGAUCGCAAGACCUAUCUCUACUGGAGCGGCCGAUAUCUGAUUAGCUAGUUGGUGAGGUAAAGGCUCACCAAGGCGACGAUCAGUAGCUGGUCUGAGAGGACGACCAGCCACACUGGAACUGAGACACGGUCCAGACUCCUACGGGAGGCAGCAGUGGGGAAUUUUGGACAAUGGGCGCAAGCCUGAUCCAGCAAUGCCGCGUGAGUGAAGAAGGCCUUCGGGUUGUAAAGCUCUUUUGUCAGGGAAGAAACUGGUAUGGCUAAUAUCUGUAUCUAAUGACGGUACCUGAAGAAUAAGCACCGGCUAACUUCGUGCCAGCAGCCGCGGUAAUACGUAGGGUGCAAGCGUUAAUCGGAAUUACUGGGCGUAAAGCGUGCGCAGGCGGUUUUGUAAGUCUGUCGUGAAAUCCCCGGGCUUAACCUGGGAAUUGCGAUGGAGACUGCAAGGCUNGAGUUUGGCAGAGGGGGGUAGAAUUCCACGUGUAGCAGUGAAAUGCGUAGAGAUGUGGAGGAACACCGAUGGCGAAGGCAGCCCCCUGGGUCAAAACUGACGCUCAUGCACGAAAGCGUGGUUAGCAAACAGGAUUAGAUACCCUGGUAGUCCACGCCCUAAACGAUGUCUACUAGUUGUCGGGUCUUGAUUGACUUGGUAACGCAGCUAACGCGUGAAGUAGACCGCCUGGGGAGUACCGUCGCAAGAUUAAAACUCAAAGGAAUUGACGGGGACCCGCACAAGCGGUGGAUGAUGUGGAUUAAUUCGAUGCAACGCGAAAAACCUUACCUACCCUUGACAUGUCAGCAACCUCCGAGAGAUUGGAGGGUAGGCGAAAGGGAGGCCUGACACAGGUGCUGCAUGGCUGUCGUCAGCUCGUGUCGUGAGAUGUUGGGUUAAGUCCCGCAAGGAGCGCAACCCUUGUCAUUAGUUGCUACAUGCCAAUGAGNACUCGAAUGAGACUGCCGGUGACAAACCGGAGGAAGGUGGGGAUGACGUCAAGUCCUCAUGGCCCUUAUGGGUAGGGCUUCACACGUCAUACAAUGGUCGGUACAGAGGGCCGCCAACCCGCGAGGGGGAGCUAAUCCCAGAAAGUGUAUCGUAGUCCGGAUUGUAGUCUGCGACUCGACUGCAUGAAGUUGGAAUCGCUAGUAAUCGCGGAUCAGCAUGUCGCGGUGAAUACGUUCCCGGGUCUUGUACACACCGCCCGUCACACCAUGGGAGCGGGUGGUACCAGAAGUAGGUAGCUNAACCACNAGGAGGGCGCUUCCNGCGUUGUGA
rnacentral:rRNA from 2 species